rnacentral:misc_RNA from 1 species
UGUGGGAGCGGGCUUGCUCGCGAAGGAUUCACCGCGGUUUAUCUGAUGCACCGCGUUAUCGUUCUUCGCGAGCAAGCCCGCUCCCACA